CCUACGGGUGGCAGCAGUGGGGAAUAUUGGACAAUGGGGGCAACCCUGAUCCAGCAAUGCCGCGUGUGUGAAGAAGGCCUGCGGGUUGUAAAGCACUUUCAGUAGGGAAGAAAAGCCUGGGGUUAAUACCCCCGGGUCUUGACGUUACCUAAAGAAGAAGCACCGGCUAACUCCGUGCCAGCAGCCGCGGUAAUACGGAGGGUGCGAGCGUUAAUCGGAAUUACGGGGCGGGUCGCGCACGUAGGAGGUGAAAGCCCCGGGCUUAACCUGGGAAUUGCAUUCGAUACUGCCUGACUGGAGUAUGGGAGAGGGAAGCGGAAUUUCCGGUGUAGCGGUGAAAUGCGUAGAUAUCGGAAGGAACAUCAAUGGCGAAGGCAGCUUCCUGGCCCAAUACUGACGCUGAGGUGCGAAAGCGUGGGGAUCAAACAGGAUUAGAUACCCCUGUAGUC
rnacentral:rRNA from 1 species